rnacentral:snRNA from 1 species
AUACUUACCUGGCAGGGGAGAUACCAGGAUCACGAAGGUGGUUUUCCCCAGGUGGGGCUUAUCUGUUGCAUUCUGGAUGUACUGAUCCCUGUGAUUUCCCCAAAUGUGGAAAACUCGACUGCAUAAUUUAUGGUAGUGGGGGACUGCGUUCGCACUUUCUCCUC